GGAUGCGAUUAUACCAGCACUAAAGCACCGGAUCCCAUCAGAACUCCGAAGUUAAGCGUGCUUGGGCGAGAGUAGUACUAGGAUGGGUGACCUCUUGGGAAGUCCUCGUGUUGCAUUCC
rnacentral:rRNA from 1 species